rnacentral:rRNA from 1 species
GUCAAGUCAUCAUGUCCCUUAGGAGUAGGGCUACACACGUGCUACAAUGGGCCAUACAGAGGGCGNCCAACUUUGAAAGGUGAGAAAUCCAAAAAGGGGNGUGUNAGUCGGAUUGGAGUUUGCAACUUGGCUUCAAGGAGUUGGAAAUCNUUGUUAAUNGUGNAUAAAAACCCCAGGGUGAAUAUUUCCCGGGCCUUAAACCCCCCCCCCNNCCCCCCCAUGGGAGUGGUUCCCAAAAGAAGGGGUUAUUUUAACUUUGGGGGGGACGCUCACCAUUUUGUGUUCCAUUU